rnacentral:rRNA from 1 species
ACGCUCGACACCUACGGGAGGCAGCAGUGGGGAAUAUUGCACAAUGGGGGAAACCCUGAUGCAGCGACGCCGCGUGAGUGAAGAAGUAUUUCGGUAUGUAAAGCUCUAUCAGCAGGGAAGAAAAUGACGGUACCUGACUAAGAAGCCCCGGCUAACUACGUGCCACAGCCGCGGUAAUCUGAGCGGGCUGGCAAGGC